GCCGAAGUGGUGAAAUUGGUAGACACGUACGUUUCAGAGGCGUAUGAGGCAACUCAUGAGGGUUCGAGUCCCUCCUUCGGCA
rnacentral:tRNA from 1 species